CCUGCGGGGUAGGACGUCAACAACAGCCAACAAAUUAUUAGAAAUGAAGACCAUUUGUGAAAUGAAGUUUUUCAGGUUCCUGGCCACAUAUGUUCUCAUGUAUUUCGAACGGACUUUCUCUGACUGUUGACCGCGGAAAUCCGUGAACGAGGUUAUCAGAGAGCUGCGAUAAGAGAGGAAAACGGAGAGGAAGAGAAGCAGUCCGACGCGGUGUGAAGGAAUGGAAUAAACCCCGGAGCAGAACCAGAGGAAGGAGGGAUGACUGCCGUGAGAUGAGAGGGAUAGAGCAGGUCACAGAACAACUCGAGAGACCAUUCAGCUGUGAAGAGACAGAAGAAGCCAGAAGAUCACACAAACACACCCAAAGGUGAGAUGCAGGUGAGCAUUAAGAUGGAGGUAAACAGAUCACAUAGUGUGUGUGAGAGAGCUGCAGACGGGCUGAGCUAACCAGUCUGUACCUACUGGCAGCUUGUAAAUCUAACAAAAAAACAGGAAGGAAUUUCCUCCUCAGAUAGACAACCUGUCUGCAAUACAUUACUUUACCCUAAUGCCAUUAUGUAGAUACAACAUAUAACUACUUUUGGUAGUUUGCCAGAAUGUAACUACUGCAGAUGAGGUCUAUGAAAAUGUUUUAUUAUAGUCUAGCCUAAUAAAAAAUUAACUUACCAAAUGCUCUGUUAAAUUCCUUACUAGUGUAGUUACAUGUAACUAAUUACACCAAAAGAUUACAAGUUCCCAUAACUACAGUGUAUGAAGUGUGCACCAAAAGGGUCAUGUUCAUUUGGCACCAAAUGGAUGAAAACAGCCUGAAACUGAGAGGGACUACCUGGACUUGUCCAAUUAGAAACUCAAAUUUUUGUUGUCCAAUCGCUUCCCUAAUGAACAUGACCCAGUAGCCUGCUGCCCUGCGAGGAAACCAGUCUGUCCUGUAUUGUAUUGUGUUGCCUGGCUGUCCCUAACCAGUUGUCACAAAAUAUUCCUUGUGUCAUCGCUGCACCCCCUCAUGUCUGAAAGGAGCUCUCUGAGUUGUAAAAUAGUCUAAAAUUCACACACUGCUACGAUAGCAAUGUGCAGACAGCUCCAUUGUUAUUUUUACGUAAUUUGAUUGCGCCAAACAAUUUGUCACUAGAGUUUGUUGUUUUUAGAUAUGGUUCCCAAUACAUGUGGUUGUAAUUUGGCUAUGUCUUCUCUUUCUCAUUCAUCCAAAAAUAGAUCAAAUCGUCUCCAUUUCAGCAAUGACAUUCUGUAUGCUUUGACUAUUGGGGAAAUCACUUUAACACAAAGCCUUUACAUUGAGCCGCACAUUCACAGUGGUCUUACAACAAUGAAGUGGUCAAAUGUUAGAGCUGCUCAUACAAUUAAGACCAGCUUGUCUGAGUGAAAAAGACUACCCCCUCCUCCCCCCCUAGCCCCAUAUACUGUAGACUUCCACUUCCCCUCGGCAGUCAUGCCCAGCCCCUUCACUCCGAUUUGGGCUUGGACGUCAGCUCAGGGUCCAUCUCUUUCUCUCUGACUCUUGACCAAACCAGUCUGAGUCAUGCUCGUCCUCUGGACGUAGAAGACCUUGGAG